AAUAUCUAAAUUUUAUUUUCAAGAUCUCACCCUGUCCAGUGGCACGCUGCAGUCCAACGAACUGUGACUCUCAUCAGUAGGCACAGCAAACUCCUUGGCCCCAUAAAAACUGCAUUGCUUUUCCAAGAUACGAAUUACGAUUGUAGAAAUCAGUGGAGAAGCUAAGAGAUCUCACAGAAAUUGAAAAUGAGUAGCAAGAAGAUAUUGAUAGUUGGUGGCACAGGUUACUUGGGUCAGCAUCUUCUGCAGGAAUUCACGGCAACCCAAAAUACUCUUCCAUAUGCUCUCUCGUUAGCCUUUACCUACCACACCAAUCCCCCACCUGAGCGCCUACUGGAAGCCAUUCCUCAUGCCCUACCCUUUCAUGUAGAUUUACGAACCGGCAAUGGCUUUGAUGACAUCUCACAAAAUUUUGGGCAGCCUGAUGUUGUGGUUAAUUGUGCUGCACUUUCUGUUCCACGUGCCUGUGAAGUGGAUCCUACUGCUGCCAUGGCUAUUAAUGUGCCUUCUGCUCUUGUUAAGUGGUUGUCAAGUUUUAGCAAUGGCGGUACUCUUCUGAUUCACUUGUCUACUGAUCAAGUUUACGAAGGGACCAAAUCCUUCUACAAGGAAGAUGAUGAGACCCUUCCUGUGAAUGUUUAUGGAAGAUCAAAGGUAGCAGCAGAGCAAUUUAUAUCUGCAAAUUACUCAAAUUUUGCAAUUUUGAGGAGCAGUAUUAUUUAUGGACCUCAGACUGUCUCCCCUGUCCCAAAAUCACUUCCAGUUCAGUGGAUGGAUAGUGUUCUUGCAAAGGGAGAAGCCAUGGAUUUUUUUCACGAUGAAUUCCGUUGUCCUGUCUAUGUGAAGGAUCUUGUGACCAUCAUAUGGACCCUGACAAAUAAAUGGAUCUCAGGAUUGGUUCUUUCUUUGUGGUAGUUUUCCACAUAUUUAAUACAACAUUUCUUGCUGCGUGAGGAUUUGAUUCUUUUGAAGUAUUAUGAUUGAGUUAACUGGAAUAUAAUCCAAAAAACAAAUAAUUCAGCUCAAUGUUCAAUGUGGUGGUUCACUAUGACUCGAGAUAAGUUCUACAAUGUGACUCUAUCAAUGCUCAUGACCGGUUUAUAGUUGAAGUUAUGUCAGACUUUUUCCCUUUAAAGCCUCUAGUAAAGUUUCUGAUACAAUUUACCUGAUUUUCUAUCUCUCCUUGACUUUUCCGUUUUAUCACAUGAUAUGUGUUGUUUCUAGAGAAGGAGCCAAUGCAGUUACUUCUGAACGUGGGUGGACCUGAUCGAGUUUCCAGGGUUCAGAUGGCUGAAGCUGUUGCACAUAUUCGAGGUUAUAAUUUGUCAUUGAUCAAAUCAGUAUCCUCAUCAACUGUUAACCGCGGCGUUAAGUCUCCAGCA